rnacentral:tRNA from 1 species
GCCUCCGUGGUGGAAUGGUAGACACCGGAGACUUAAAAUCUUCUGACCCUAUGGUCGUGCCGGUUCGAGUCCGGCCGGAGGCACCA